rnacentral:siRNA from 1 species
UUGCCACAAUUCUAACUGAAAU